UACGUAGGGGGCUAGCGUUGUCCGGAAUCAUUGGGCGUAAAGCGCGUGUAGGCGGUCCGGUAAGUCCGCUGUGAAAGUCGGGGGCUCAACCCUCGGAUGCCGGUGGAUACUGUCGGGCUUGAGUACGGAAGAGGCGAGUGGAAUUCCUGGUGUAGCGGUGAAAUGCGCAGAUAUCAGGAGGAACACCAAUUGCGACGGCAGCUCGCUGGGACGUUACUGACGCUGAGACGCGAAAGCGUGGGGAGCAAACAGG
rnacentral:rRNA from 1 species